GCAAAGCUAGGUAGCGAAACAAGAAAGCGAAGCAAGGUGGCGUUGCAGGACGGCGAAGUUAGGGUUUGGUCCGGGAUUGCAAAUCUACAGUCGAGCAAGCCGACGAAGCUAGGGUUUGGUUCCGGCAUACAAAUCCAUUGUCGAGCAAGGCAGCAAAGCUAGGGAUUGAUCCAGGCCUGCAAAUCCAUGAUUGAGCAAAAAGGGAUUGAGGCUAUGAAAUUUUGGUCCUCCCAUUGCGUUGGCAAUUGGAGCAAAGUUUGUUCCUCUGAGAAAACCAAUGAAAUUGCCUGAGAUUCAUUUUGCGACGGAGGAAUGAUGUGAAAAAAAUUGCUAAAAGAAUGUGCAAGAACUACUAACAUUUCUUCCACGUUAACUAUGAAAGAUUAGAUGAAAUGCAACCUGUGUUUUACAGUAUCUGAAUUGCUCAAACUCAUUGUAAUACUUAUGCAAAAAUACUAUGUUCUCAUGUUAUUGUGAUACAAUAGACUUGA